UACGAAGGGGCCUAGCGUUGUUCGGAAUCACUGGGCGUAAAGCGCACGUAGGCGGAUAUGUCAGUCAGGGGUGAAAUCCCGGGGCUCAACCUCGGAACUGCCCUUGAUACAGCAUAUCUUGAGUCCGAUAGAGGUGGGUGGAAUUCCUAGUGUAGAGGUGAAAUUCGUAGAUAUUAGGAAGAACACCGGUGGCGAAGGCGGCCCACUGGAUCGGUACUGACGCUGAGGUGCGAAAGCGUGGGGAGCAAACAGG
rnacentral:rRNA from 1 species